ensembl:lncRNA
AUGAUAAGCUUGGCUCUGUGUCCAAUACACUAAAGACAGAGCUGUCUGAUGAGAUGCAGCGUAUUUAUGAUAAGAUAAACACAGAGAGAUCCUCCAUGUCUGAGGCCUUAGAGGCUAGGCUGUCAGAAGACCAUGACCAGCUAAAGAAUAUCUGUAGCCAGCUAGAAACUCAGAUAGGCAAUGUUACUCAUCAACUAGAUGCAACGGUGCAAAAUACCCAGCAUAGGGUUGAAGAAUUGGACAAUGCAAUUCAAUCAGUUAUUGAAGCAUCCAAGGUAGCAGAUCAUAAAUUUGAGUCUAGAUUUGAAUGUUUGGAAGAUAAUUUACAGUACAGGGCUGACAGAUUACAUAGGUCCAUAUGGUCGAUUGCUGAGGACUCAAAAUCAGCAAAUCAUGACCUCGAAUCUAGACUCCAAUACCUAGAAGGCAGUUUCCAUGCCAUCCAGAUGCUGCCUAAGGAUGAUCGUAUUAAAGAUCUAGAAAAACAUGUAGAUGAGCAGUUAGAGCGAUUUACAGAUUCACUAACAUGCUUGGAAUCUUUUAUGAUUAAGGAGAUUGAAACUUUUCAAAAGGAUAUCAUUGCCAGGCUUAAAGAUCAUUGGGAUGCCUCAAAAGCAGAAUCACUCCAAUCCCAGGCACCUACUCCACCCAGGAGAAGAAAAACUUUGGAUACCAUCAAAGUUGAUCAAGAUUCGAAUGAAAAAGAAAAAAACCUCUUGAUGAGGACAAAUGACAGGUAUUCUACUAAGGUAUAUCUUAUAAACUAAAUAGAAACCCCCCAAAGGAAAGGGAAGUGUUUUGCUUUUAUCUUCACAGGAAAACUCAUCUCCAGAAGGCAAAGGACACUGCAUGGAUAGAUACUUGGGAAGAAAAGGUAGCUAUAACCAUCAAACAAAGGAACGUGCCAUACGGUAAACUUUACAGCUGUCUCUCAGAGAACUCUAUUUCUCUUUAUUUCCUAGUCCCUAUUCAAUUAAACCAAUGCUGGGUUUAGAGGUGGAUUUGGCUUUCCUCCUCUAAAAUCCAAGCACGUUAUUUAACUAAGAUUUAGUGUUUCUGUAUUGUAUCAAGAAGCCAAUUGAUGUAAUACAGAAUAAAAGAAGAAUUUGGGGACUUUGUCUUUUCUUGGAUCUUUCUCUCAAGGUGUAUACCCUCUCAUAAUUGUUAUGCUCUCAUGGUUACAUUCUCCAGCAUGUGUACAUACACAAGCAAACAUUUCUCUGCUAACUUUUUAUGUUUGAGUCCCACACAGCCAAUGAAGACCUGCCUGACAGCAAUCCCUAAACACCCUGGAAAGAAAAUGGGCCACAGCUCCUCGACUGCACUGGAUCCAACUUGCUCCAUUUCAACUGACACCCCGGCCAGAGGUUUGGGUACUGACUUCAAUCAAGUUGAGGAUUUCAAGCGAGAUCUUCAAUCAAGUGAAUCAUACAAUUCAUUCAAGACUUUCACUAUCCUAACAUUUUCUUCCUGCAGGACCCCACAUGACUAUCAUCGUCCCAUUUCAGCAGGAAGUAACUCGGAGGAUGCUACGCUCCCUUUCCCCAUUGUUGUCACUUAGGAUAGUGUAUAUACCUAGUUAGGAAUAGCUUCCUAUUGUUUAUGGUUGGGAUUGUAAGGAGGUGUUCAGGCUUGGACACCUCUUUCAGAUGACUUUAGGGUUUAGUUAAAAUAGAUAGUUAGGAUGUGACAUAAGCAGAUUGUUGUAUCUUCUUAUAUUUUACCUUUAUGAUUGUUAAUUUUGGAUACUUUAAACUGUUAAGUUUUAAUCCUCUUUUAGACUAAAAGGGGAAUUGUAGGGGAAGCUGUAGCCACGCCUACUUAGGGGCUGGCUACAGGUGUGCCUGACCACACUUGUGAGGGCGUGGUCAGAGUGACGUAUUGUGACUGCGUUUGCUCUUUCGGUUUCACUUUGCUGCUUGCUGUACAGACUGCUAGCAGGCCAGCUGGCUAGGCUGCUCUGUAAGUAAGGCUUUUCCCUAUUAAAUACCCUUAUAUUUC